rnacentral:lncRNA from 1 species
UGUGAUGCUUAGAAACUACUAGAAAGGUUUCAAAUUCAAAGUCUGUCAGCAACUAUUCCCAGCAAAAUUUAGAGCUUUGACAGCAGAUUGGCCACCAACUCCUGUAUAUAUUCCAACUGUUGUCGUACCUCUUCAUUAAUAAUAGCAGGGCGAAUAGUAGCAAGAUCGGUUGUGGUCUGACGAGAAGGAUACUCUAUGAAAGUACUUAUUUGAUUGAGAAGGAUGGUCAGAGUAUGUACACUAGAAUCUAGAAUUUGAUGGAAAUAAACCGGUAGAGGUCCAUGCCAAAUCCCAGUUUCCUCAUUGCAAACAAAAAAAAACCUGUUGAUACACAUGAGUCUCUUAUUUGUACCAACCUGUUAAUACCAAAAACAAUCAAACAAAAUUAAUUAAUAUACAAAAAAGUGGGGAUAGAACAAUAAUAUUUCGGAUCUGAAUAAUAUAAAAAAAAAAUUGUUACAAAAUUAAUUUUUAAAAACACACGAAUCUUUUGAUACAAAAAUUAAUCAAACAGAUCUGAUUAAUAUACAAAUUUUUUUUUUUAAAAAAAGAACACAUUGAUACAGAUCGGCCUUCUAUUUGUAGCGACCUGUUGAUACCAAAAACAAUAACACGGGGGGAAAACUGGCGAGAUAGAACAAGUAUAUUUAAUAUUUGAUGUAGGGGUACUAUAUACAACAUACAUGUGGCACCAUCUCUACUGUCCAUCAUGGUGCCACAUGUCAACAUCUAAUGGGCUCUCUCUUGAUGGCACAAGUUACAAAGUUAAGCCUUAUUAUUACAAAGAUAUUUUCCCCAUUAUUACCCUAUUAAUUGUUAAGAAUGGAGUUACAUUGUAGCCUAUAAAUAUAAAGGCAAACUACUCAUCUUCUCAUGGUCUCAUUGUGAAUCAUACACAAGAUCUCAACACUCUCUCAUGAGACCUCACCUCUCAGGUCUCAUCUCUCUCUCUUGAGCUCUCUCCAUUAUCGAGCUCCCAUUUUGUAUCACCACUACUAUAAUAAAGUUCAUUCUCUCUCUCCGUGGAUGUAGGCACAAUUGCCGAACCACGUAUACAAUGGUGUUCACGUCUCCACUUUAUUAUUGUUCAUAUCAUACUCAUCAUCAUCUUUCAUCAAAUGUAUUGACCAACCUCACAAAAAUGGUUAAUACAUUUGGCACCGACUAUAGGGACUUGGGAUUUUCUCAAGCGAAUUCCACCCACCAACCCCACCGAACACCAUUGUUCUAAGGUUCUUAGAUGGUGAUUUUCAAGAAAUUCAUUGAAUUUGAAAAGAUAGAAUUGCAACUCACAGUUGGGGGCUUGGAGCAAAUUGUUUACACAAUUACUGGACUCGACAGAAGCAAGAGUUUCACAUAUAUUUAUCUGGUGAUAUAUUUUCAUGUCUACCAACGACCUCUCAGGUCUCGUCGCAACCUCACCAGAUCCUUCAUACCAGGUCUUUCAUGCCAGGUCCUUCAUACCAGGUCCUUCAUCGCGACCUCACCAGGUCUAUCAACGACCUCCUCAAAUUACAGGUCUUUCAACGACCUCAAGAAUAUUUAUGCCAUACAGGGGGCUAUUCUCACUUUAUCAAAUGAAAUUAACUUAUUAUUAGCACAAUUAGCUAUUAAUGAUAUUUUUUGUAGCUCUCUCUAUGUGCAGGUCACAUGAACACGACCUCACUCCCCAUGAGCUAUUUUUGCACAAAUGUGCCACAUUGCUUUCACUGAACUCUUUACAAGUGAAAUGAUUGAUAUACAAUACGGUCACCUUCAUUGACUAGUGAGUCACUCGUAUGCGGGACGACCUCAAACACAAUUCUCUAGCCACACGCCUGGUCGAACGCAUUCACUCUCAACGCAAUGCAGACCCACAAAGGCCACAUGCCCGAGAAUUGUCAAACAGGUCUCCACGCUGCGACCAUUCACUAGAUCGGGCACCAAAAGGUUCCAAGUAACUCUCAAAACACUUGGUCAACCAAUGCUCUUUCUCAAACGAGCUACAUGUGCACUCCAAAGUGCCACAUCUAUUGGAAUGUCCAAUCACAAGGCGACAAAGAUAGUACAUACAAAACUCAUAAGGAAGACAUACAGUUCAGUGUAAGUCUCUUACUAAAUUUUAUAAUAUUUCACAUGCUAACAUUAUCAACAAGUAUCAGGUCUAUGCAACUCGACCACAAAAAGACAACCACCCAUGUAUGCAAGAAGACCCACUUCAGUACGACCUGCUUGCAGCUGUCCAUCUCGUUUACAUGCCUUCUGAACGAGCUACCAGGUCUCCCUGGAACUAACUAGCUCGCUAUACACAAAUUCAUGAUCGAGUUGCCAUUACCACAAGGGACCUUCAUCGCGUCCUGCAAAUCUCAAUGAUCAAGCUUAUCAAAAUUUGGGGCGGAUCGACUUCGUUAAAGAACCCCAUAUUUCAUUCAUCUUGGGGGCUGGAUCGGUUCGAUUACUUCUUUUCAGCCCGAACUCCGUUCAACCUAAAAAGAGGGGGCUUAUGUAGGGGUACUAUAUACAACAUACAUGUGGCACCAUCUCUACCGUCCAUCAUGGUGCCACAUGUCAACAUCUAAUGGGCUCUCUCUUGAUGGCACAAGUUACAAAGUUAAGCCUUAUUAUUACAAAGAUAUUUUCCCCAUUAUUACCCUAUUAAUUGUUAAGAAUGGAGUUACAUUGUAGCCUAUAAAUAUAAAGGCAAACUACUCAUCUUCUCAUGGUCUCAUUGUGAAUCAUACACAAGAUCUCAACACUCUCUCACGAGACCUCACCUCUCAGGUCUCAUCUCUCUCUCUUGAGCUCUCUCCAUUAUCGAGCUCCCAUUUUGUAUCACCACUACUAUAAUAAAGUUCAUUCUCUCUCUCCGUGGAUGUAGGCACAAUUGCCGAACCACGUAUACAAUGGUGUUCACGUCUCUACUUUAUUAUUGUUCAUAUCAUACACAUCAUCAUCUUUCAUUAAUGUAUUGACCAACCUCACAAAAAUGGUUAAUACAUCUGAUUAAUAUACAAAAUUUUGUUAGAAAAUUAGAAAUACCAACCUGUUGAGUGUUGAUACAGAUCGCAUCUUAUUUGUGCCAACCUGUUGAUACCAAAUAUAUAUAUCACACAAAUCAUAUGAACUAUCUGUGGUGAAAAACUAGUUGUUAAAAAAGAAAGAGAACACACAAUUCAUAAAGAGAUGGUAAUGGAUUCUCUCUCUCUCUCUCUCAAACAACCACCCACCUCCAAGAAAAAUACAAGAAUACAAUCAAAAGUUAAGGACAAAAGACUAUCUGUCUUCUAGAAAGAUGGAUAGUAUUAUUAUCUUCAUCCACUACUAGUACAAUGAAUAAGAAUAUCACCCCUAAGCAUGAAUGCUGCACUAUGGAUCUCAAAUUCUUGCUCUUGAUGACUUUCUUGUAAUAUUUCCUGAGAAAGAUUAGGUUUUUAGGUAUAUCAUGAAAUAGAGUCACAGAUAUGAAGCGGCUGAGCUGAGGGGAGAAGAAGAUAAUAAGUGAUUAUAUAUACGGUAUACCUAACAAACCAAUUAGUGAACUCUUAAUCGAGAUUUAGGUUUGGGAAUUAGCAAAUGGUGUACGUUGAUUAAAGGCUAAUCUAAAGGUCAACGAUAAUUGAUUAGGUUUACAAUACAAUUAUAUUACUAAUAAUCACGAAUAAUU